GACAGAGGGUGCAAACGUUGUUCGGAAUUACUGGGCGUAAAGCGCACGUAGGCGGCUUUGUAAGUUAGAGGUGAAAGCCUGGAGCUCAACUCCAGAACUGCCUUUAAGACUGCAUCGCUUGAAUCCUGGAGAGGUGAGUGGAAUUCCGAGUGUAGAGGUGAAAUUCGUAGAUAUUCGGAAGAACACCAGUGGCGAAGGCGGCUCACUGGACAGGUAUUGACGCUGAGGUGCGAAAGCGUGGGGAGCAA
rnacentral:rRNA from 1 species